UCACUUGUUCUUUAAAUGGGGACUUGUAUCAACGGCACCACGAGGGUUAGACUGUCUCCUUUUUCAAAUCAGUGAAAUUAAUCUCCCCGUGAAGAAGCGGGGAUACUCAUAUAAGACGAGAAGACCCCAUGGAGCUUCAAACCCAACUACACCCCUAGCUCUUAUAGCCCCACAACCCCCCUAGGCGCCGUGUGCUUGGUUUUAGGUUGGGGCGACCGCGGAGUACAAUAAAACCUCCACAAUGAAUGGGAACACCCCCUUAUCUGAGGGCCACACCCCCUAAGAAUUAGAACACUAACAUAAAAUGAUCCAUUACUUGAUCAAUGAACCAAGUUACCCUGGGGAUAACAGCGCAAUCCAUUUCAAGAGCCCCUAUCGACAAAUGGGUUUACGACCUCNAUGUUGGAUCAGGGUACCCC
rnacentral:rRNA from 1 species